CCCACGCGACCUCCUCCGGUAUCCUUGAGUUUUGAUCUAUUUUGGAGUUUACAGCUGCUCUUUCCUAGGCACUUGCGAUUAAUCGUGCAAGAGAGUCCUCAACGUGGUUUAAAACUGAAACAGACCAGGCACGUCGAUAUGAAAUCUACAUAUUAUGUAUGCUUGGUGUUUUGCUGAAUCUUGGGUGCCCAGAGACUCUUGACGAUGUGCAUCCUUUCUUGUUUAAUCUUUUUGCAGACUCGGUAAUCACUAUACUGCAAAACAAUACUUGCCUAUGUGUUUUUUACUCACUAUAUAUACUGUUCCCGUACUUUUACCUUGCAGGUUUAACAAUUGUGGAGCAAAAAUAGUUAGUGGUUUGUUACGUAAAUGUGCAACAGGUUUAAAUACUGCAGAUAUGUGGGGAGCUAAUUUUUCGUAAUUCCAUUUUUUGUUGUGUCAUUAAUCAUGUUAUGAUUGCUUGAGCUAGCAAUACAGAUGGAUGCAUGUUACUUAUGUAUAUGAGUAAAUUUGCCAAUUGCCAUAACUGCCAUGCACUGAAUUUCUUAGCCUUGAAUCAUAGAGCAAGCUUUUUCAUGUACUAAUUUUAUAUCCAUGACUCAUGAUCACAGGACAUUGCAUUAUCCAUCUUCCUAGGCUGUUUCGCUUUCUGCAGAAGCACAUAGCACAAUUCAUAACGGUACUGAGAGAACGUGAGACUAAGAAAGGUUAUGCAUCCAUAGGCUGAGGUUCUCUUUGACAAAUUACUGAUGCGCAGGUAUGUCUUAACCUUUUGAUGCCAAAUUUGCCAAUUGCCAUGACUGCCAUGCACUGAAUUUCUUAGCAAUGUGGAUUUCUUAGCACUGAAUUGCCAUGACUGCCAUAAAAAUCAGCAUUUGCAAAAUGGUUCCGUUUAGCCUGACUUUUUUCACAAAGAGCAAUGAGUGGACAGGUUAGCAAUUAUGGACUAUUUGUUUGUUUUAUUGCUUAAUGCAAUAGUUCUGUGCAAUGCCGCGCCUACCAAUGCUAAUGAUUUAUUUUCCAUUAUCAGGGAAAAUCUGAGGUGUGGUUCGAACAGCUUGUCCAUGCACUACUGAGGAUGUGGUUUGUGUUUCCUGUAAAUCAGAUUUGAUUUGGUUUGAUUUCUUUGAGAAGUGCUUGAGCUCUAGGUUGUAUCUGAGCUUUCUUGCUGUUCUCUCCUCUAGGUUUCAGGCUUUUAGUGAGCAUAUGAAGCUUUGGCUUUGGUCACCUCUUGUGCCUGUAUUUGCAACAGCAACAGCUUGUGCCUGUACUACCGAUCUGUUUUUAGAGCAUAGUUCCUUCCUGUGUGUUUUCCAUCUGCAAGUUCAGUGAUAUUAUAUUCUUCUGUUUUGUAGGUACUUUGUGAUAGGCUUGGAAUAGAAACAACUACAGAAAUCACUGUAAUUGAAGUCUUACAACCAAACGUGUAUACGCAACCAAGUGAACAGCUUGACUGGUGCCGGCGUGCCGCCAUCCUUGAAAAUGCAGCUCCUGCUGCAUCGAAGGGUAGUGAUCAUCCUUCACCUUCAGAUGUUUUCUGGCUGAUCCAUUUAAAAGCAACCCUCCAAUACUGAUAACAGGUGUGUUUCAAGUUGCUUAUGACAUGUUUGAUCAAUUGGCGGGCUACAUUCAUGAAGCCUAAAUCUGUUGCCUGGGUGCAUGGUGCCUUCCGGACAGAACUCCACAGGGUGAUACAAAGGAACAAGCAUUACUCCCGGUAUGAUUGUUUGAAGCAUUGAGUUUUGUAUUUGCAUUAUUCAAUUCAGAGCCCAUGCGCGAGGGGAGGUAGGGGUGUGGGACAGGCGCCUAACGAAGGGACGGAACGACCUGACGAAGACGAAGCGCGCGGGGAAGAGGAAGAGACAAGGCGCAGGCACUGGGUGGACACAUACCAUCGGCGGCGGCUCGUGUUAAUUUGUGUGGACCUAGGCUCUCCGCAUAGUCUAACGCGAGACUGCUCUGUGCUUAGUGGCAUUCCAAUUAUGAUCAUACCAACUUACAGCACGCACGUGCCGCGCGGGCAUUGUAACUAGUCACAUAAAUAAAUACGCAUAUAUACGUUAUUAGGCAAUUAUGUCCGUGUAUUGCUACGGACAAAAAUUGAUAUAAGUAUCGGAUACGUAUUGGUGUCA